UGCUUCAUUAAUACUAUCCAACGUGUCCCUUUGUUGGUUCUGAAAAUUCCCUUCUUGCAACUUCGUUGUGUUUUCAAUUUUCAAGAUCGUUAAGUGAAAAUACAUACUGAAAUAGCUUUUGAAGGUGCGAAUGGCUAAGAGUGGUUCCAUGUCAUCGCCAAAUCACCAACAUAUACAAGCACAUGAAGUUCAAUGCCUUCGU